rnacentral:rRNA from 1 species
GACGAACGCUGGCGGCGUGCUUAACACAUGCAAGUCGAACGGAAAGGCCCUUCGGGGUACUCGAGUGGCGAACGGGUGAGUAACACGUGGGUGAUCUGCCCUGCACUUUGGGAUAAGCCUGGGAAACUGGGUCUAAUACCGAAUAGGACCACGCGCUUCAUGGUGUGUGGUGGAAAGCUUUUGCGGUGUGGGAUGGGCCCGCGGCCUAUCAGCUUGUUGGUGGGGUAAUGGCCUACCAAGGCGACGACGGGUAGCCGGCCUGAGAGGGUGACCGGCCACACUGGGACUGAGAUACGGCCCAGACUCCUACGGGAGGCAGCAGUGGGGAAUAUUGCACAAUGGGCGCAAGCCUGAAGCAGCGACGCCGCGUGAGGGAUGACGGCCUUCGGGUUGUAAACCUCUUUCACCAGGGACGAAGCGUAAGUGACGGUACCUGGAGAAGAAGCACCGGCCAACUACGUG